GACGGAGGAUGCAAGCGUUAUCCGGAAUGAUUGGGCGUAAAGCGUCCGCAGGUGGCAGUUCAAGUCUGCUGUCAAAGACUGGGGCUUAACUCCGGACAGGCAGUGGAAACUGAACAGCUAGAGUAUGGUAGGGGCAGAGGGAAUUCCCAGUGUAGCGGUGAAAUGCGUAGAGAUUGGGAAGAACAUCGGUGGCGAAAGCGCUCUGCUGGACCAAAACUGACACUCAGGGACGAAAGCUAGGGGAGCGAAUGGG
rnacentral:misc_RNA from 1 species